rnacentral:piRNA from 1 species
UGUUUCCCUGACUCCCAGACAUCUUUGC